UGUGUGUGUGUGUGUGUGCGUGUUUUGAGGUAGGGAUAACGGGGCAGAAGGGUUGCAGUGGACAGCAGAUCAGAGACCAUGACUGGCUAAAUAAUGACACAGCGACCCUGUGCUCCUGGGGUAGGUUUCCCCAUAACGAUGAAUCAUGUCAGAAGACGGCAACAGCGAUGUAAUAUUGUACAACCACAAUUCCAAAAAAGGACGCUGGGUAAAAAUGUCAAUAAAAACAAUGCAAUGAUUUGCAAAUCUCACAAACCCAUAUUUUAUUCACAAAUAGAAAACAUUUAAAAUGUUUAAACUGAGGAAAUGUACUGUUUUAAGAAAAAAAUAAGGUAAUUUUGAAUUUGAUGGCCACAAGACGUCUCAAAAAAGUUGGGACAGGGCAACAAAAGGCUGGAAAAGUAAGUGUUAUAAAAAAGAAACAGCUGGAGGUUAAUUGGGAACAGGACAGUAACAUGAUCGGGUGUUAAAAGAUUAUAUUAGAGAGGCGGAGUCUCUCAGAGGUAAAGAUGGGCAGAGGUUUAUAAAAUAGUUAACGAAUAUACAAAAUAAGUUUAGGAGCAGUGGUAGUUCUGUGUUGAAGACAUUGGAAGGUGAUGAGUUCAAAUACCAGCACUGCAAGCCUUACACUGCUGGGCCCUGGCAAGGCCCUCAAUUGUUCAGUUGUAUAAAAUGAAAUAAAUGUAAGUCACUCUGGAAAAGGGUCUCAAAUGCCAUAAAAGUAAAUGUAGA